rnacentral:rRNA from 1 species
GAUGAACGCUGGCGGCGUGCUUAACACAUGCAAGUCGAACGGGAUCCAAGGGGUGCUUGCACUUUUUGGUGAGAGUGGCGAACGGGUGAGUAACACGUGAGUAACCUGUCCUUUUCUUUGGGAUAAGCAUUCGAAAGGGUGUUUAAUACCUUAUGUUCUGUCUGCCUCGCAUGGGGUGGGUGGGAAAGGCUUUGGCCGGAUUUGGGUGGGCUCGCGGUCUAUCAGCUUGUUGGUGGGGUGAUGGCUUACCAAGGCUUUGACGGGUAGCCGGCCUGAGAGGGUGGUCGGUCACAUUGGGACUGAGAUACGGCCCAGACGCCUGCGGGAGGCAGCAGUGGGGGAUAUUGCACAAUGGGCGAAAGCCUGAUGCAGCGACGCCGCGUGGGGGAUGAAGGCCUUCGGGUUGUAAACUUCUUUUGCUCUGAACAAGGCAUGCCAGUGGGUGUGUUGAGUGUAGGGGUUGAUUAGCGCCGGCUAACUACGUG